GACCCCUUCGUCUAGCGGUUAGGACAUCACCCUUUCACGGUGGUAACACGGGUUCGAUUCCCGUAGGGGUCACCA
rnacentral:tRNA from 1 species